rnacentral:lncRNA from 1 species
GGCUGACACAUGUUUAUUUUAAUCUCCAAAUAAGGGAGCUACCAUUUGAUUUUUAUGGGGGGGGGGGGGGGGGGGGGGCUAGGAUGAAAAAUGUUGUCCUGCAUUUUUGUUUAGCUGUAAUCUCUGUCCUGCCUUUUUAUUUUUCACUCUGUUCUGUCCUGCAUUUUUUUUUUUAGUUUAUCCUGACCUUUUUUUUACCUUAAAUUGUCGUCCUGACUUUUUUUUGCAAGUGUCUCAUCCUGCCUUUUUUUUACUCAAAACUCCUGUCCUGCCUAUUUUUUUCAAAUUUCAUCCUAGCCCCCCAUAAAAAUCAAAUGGUAGCUCCCUAAGUGCAUUUGUCUCAGCUCAACAGUUUCAAUUCCCCAUUUAUUACAUUUGAGUUAUUGUUGUAUCCACUAACAUUGGUGUAUGUUGUCAUUUGUGACCAGAUAAUAAAUAGUUCAAACACAGCACAUCCAAUUUUAGUAAAUGUUCAUCUGUAGUAGUAUUGCACAGAGUCACUUCUUUUUCGUUGAAAGAAUCUUUUCCUGUUAAAGAUCUGAAAAAUAAUAAUUGAGAAUUCAUUAUGAUUGAUCAUAUGUAUAAUUACAGAUUUACUAUGGUUU